CAGGACGAACGCUGGCGGCGUGCCUAAUACAUGCAAGUCGAACGGCUUUUCUAUGGAAGCUUGCUUCCACUGAGAAGAUAGUGGCGAACGGGUGAGUAACACGUGGGUAACCUGCCCAUAAGAGGGGGGAUAACAUCCGGAAACGGGUGCUAAUACCGCAUAGUUUUCUUGAUUGCAUGAUUGAGAAAGGAAAGACGGCCUUUGUGCUGUCGCUUAUGGAUGGACCCGCGGCGUAUUAGUUAGUUGGUGAGGUAACGGCUCACCAAGACGAUGAUACGUAGCCGACCUGAGAGGGUGAUCGGCCACAUUGGGACUGAGACACGGCCCAAACUCCUACGGGAGGCAGCAGUAGGGAAUCUUCCGCAAUGGACGAAAGUCUGACGGAGCAACGCCGCGUGAGUGAAAGAAGGUUUUCGGAUCGUAAAACUCUGUUGUCAGAGAAGAACAAGUUGGAGAGUAACUGCUCCAGCCUUGACGGUAUCUGACCAGAAAGCCACGGCUAACUACGUGCCAGCCGCGGC
rnacentral:rRNA from 1 species